UACGGAGGGCGCAAGCGUUGUCCGGAAUUAUUGGGCGUAAAGAGCUCGUAGGCGGUUUGUCGCGUCUGCUGUGAAAACUCGAGGCUCAACCUCGGGCUUGCAGUGGGUACGGGCAGACUAGAGUGCGGUAGGGGUGACUGGAAUUCCUGGUGUAGCGGUGGAAUGCGCAGAUAUCAGGAGGAACACCGAUGGCGAAGGCAGGUCACUGGGCCGCAACUGACGCUGAGGAGCGAAAGCAUGGGGAGCGAACAGG
rnacentral:rRNA from 1 species